rnacentral:rRNA from 1 species
CCCUGGCUCAGGAUGAACGCAGGCGGCGUGCUUAACACAUGCAAGUCGAACGGUGAAAGAGAGCUUGCUCUCUGGAUCAGUGGCGAACGGGUGAGUAACACGUGAGCAAUCUGCCCCUGACUCUGGGAUAAGCGUUGGAAACGACGUCUAAUACCGGAUACGAGCUGCGAAGGCAUCUUCAGCAGCUGGAAAGAACUUCGGUCAGGGAUGAGCUCGCGGCCUAUCAGCUAGUUGGUGAGGUAAUGGCUCACCAAGGCGUCGACGGGUAGCCGGCCUGAGAGGGUGACCGGCCACACUGGGACUGAGACACGGCCCAGACUCCUACGGGAGGCAGCAGUGGGGAAUAUUGCACAAUGGGCGCAAGCCUGAUGCAGCAACGCCGCGUGAGGGACGACGGCCUUCGGGUUGUAAACCUCUUUUAGCAGGGAAGAAGCGAAAGUGACGGUACCUGCAGAAAAAGCACCGGCUAACUA